rnacentral:rRNA from 1 species
AGUGAACGCUGGCGGUAGGCCUAACACAUGCAAGUCGAACGGCAGCACAGUAAGAGCUUGCUCUUACGGGUGGCGAGUGGCGGACGGGUGAGGAAUACAUCGGAAUCUACUUUUUCGUGGGGGAUAACGUAGGGAAACUUACGCUAAUACCGCAUACGACCUACGGGUGAAAGCAGGGGAUCUUCGGACCUUGCGCGAUUGAAUGAGCCGAUGUCGGAUUAGCUAGUUGGCGGGGUAAAGGCCCACCAAGGCGACGAUCCGUAGCUGGUCUGAGAGGAUGAUCAGCCACACUGGAACUGAGACACGGUCCAGACUCCCACGGGAGGGCGCAGGGGGGAAAAUUUGGCAAUGGGGGGAAACCUUGUCCAGCCCAUCCGCGUGGGGGAAAAAGGCCCUUCGGGUUGAAAGCCCUUUUUGUUGGGAAAAAAAGAAGGAAGGUAAAAACCCCCCUUUUUGACCGGUCCCAAAGAAAAAGGCCCCGCUAACUUCGUG